rnacentral:rRNA from 1 species
UAGGCGUAAAUGAUGCGAGUUAAGUGUGGGGGCAUCUACGAGAUGGCCCUGUGCUGUAGGGUAGCCGUUAAACUCGCUGCCUGGGGAGUACGGUCGCAAGGCUGAAACUUAAAGGAAUUGGCGGGGGGAGCACCACAAGAGGUGGAGGCUGCGGUUCAAUUGGACUCAACGCCGGAAACUCAUCGGGAGCGACAGCAGUAUGAUUGCCAGGUUGAUGACCUUGCUUGACAAGCUGAGAGGUGGUGCAUGGCGUAGUCGUGU